GGUCCCAUCGUCUAGCGGUCCAGGAUAUCGCCCUCUCACGGCGGGGACACGGGUUCGAUUCCCGUUGGGACUGCCA
rnacentral:tRNA from 1 species